GUUCCGUCCCACAUCUCACUGACGGAUAUUAGAGAUUGGCUCAUUGCCAAGGGUAGAAACUACUUUAAGAACACGUUUCAGAGUGAAAUGGAAGAGGGGAAGAACCUUCACUUGGCUGAACUGGCUUGGGAUGUGAAACGACGCCUCAGGCUAAAGGAGCUGGAAAGAGAAGUGUGCAGGGAGCUGCGCCUGGAGCGCCGAAUCCGCUGGUCGGUGAUUGGACAGCCUGGUAGCCAGAUGGGAGAUUGGAGACCCCUGGGCAUGGAGACACACACACCUCUGGGAAUGGACACUCUUUCCAGUCAAAUCUCGACUGAGAACCUCGAGGUUGCUAGGCUACAUACUGCCAGACCACAUAUUGCCAGACCACAAACUACAAGACCACGUUCUGCCAGACCACCAACUGAAAGACCUAGCAGUGGCUCUGAUCACUCUGGAACCUUGUCUACUGUGAUGACCUGCUCACCACAUUCAGCUAGCCCGUCAGUGGUAGGUCACUUUGGUCAUGAACAUGUUCCCAGCUUUCACUCUUUGGGGGCUGUAGGCAUAUUACUGCUUCCCUGUCUCCCAUCUCCUGGGAAAUCCAUAUCCAAGUACAGUGGCAAGAAAAAGUAUGUGAACCCUUUGGAAUUACCUGGACUUCUGCGUAAAUUGGUCCUAAAAUGUUCUCUGAUCUUCAUCUAAGUCACAACAAUAGACAAACAAUGAUACUUUUUCAUGUCUUUAUUGAACACACGGUGUAAACAUUCACAGUGCAGGGUGGAAAAAGUACUCAGCAAAAAAAUAAACUUCCCUUUUUCAGGACCCUGUCUUUCAAAGAUAAUUCAUAUAAAUCCAAAUAACUUCACAGAUCUUCAUUUUAAAGGGUAUAAACACUGUUUCCCAUGCUUGUUCAAUGAACCAUGAACAAAUAAUGAACAUGCGUCUGUGGAACGGUCGUUAAGACACUAACAGCUUACGGAUGAUAGGCAAUUAAGGUCACAGUUAUGAAAACUUAGGAAACUAAAGAGGCCUUUAUACUAACCUUUCUACUAACACCAAAAGAAAGAUGCCCAGGGUUCCUGCUCACCUGCGAGAACGUGCCUUCGGCAUGCUGCAAGGAAGCAUGAGGACCGCAGAUGUGGCCAGGGCAAUAAAUUGCAAUGUCCGUUCUGUGAGACACCUAAGACAGCGCUACAGGGAGACAGGACGGACAGCUGAUUGUCCUCGCAGUGGCAGACCUCGUGUAACAACACCUGCACAGGAUUGGUACAUCUGAACAUCACACCUGCGGGCAGGUACAGGAUGGUACAACAGCUGCCCGAGUUACACCAGGAACGCACAAUCCCUCCAUCAGUUCUCAGUUUGUCCGCAAUAGGCUGAGAGAGGCUGGACUGAGGGCUUGUAGGCCUGUUGUAAGGAAACCGGCAACAACGUCGCCAAUGGGCACAAACCCACCAUCGCUGGACCAGACAGGACUGUCAAAAAGUGCUCUUCACUGACGAGGCAUGGUUUUGUUUCACCAGGGGUGAUGGUCGGAUUCGCGUUUAUCGUCAAAGGAAUGAGCGUUACACCGAGGCCUGUACUCUGGAGCGGUAUCGAUUUGGAGGUGGAGGGUUCGUCAUGGUCUUGGGCGAUGUGUCACAGCAUCAUCGGACUGAGCUUGUUGUCAUUGCA